UGGCUCAGGAUGAACGCUGGCGGCGUGCUUAACACAUGCAAGUCGAGCGAAGCACUUUUAAGGAAGUUUUCGGAUGGAAUUAAAAGUGACUGAGCGGCGGACGGGUGAGUAACGCGUGGGUAACCUGCCUCAUACAGGGGGAUAACAGUUGGAAACGGCUGCUAAUACCGCAUAAGCGCACAGUGCUGCAUGGCACAGUGUGAAAAACUCCGGUGGUAUGAGAUGGACCCGCGUCUGAUUAGGUAGUUGGUGAGGUAACGGCCCACCAAGCCGACGAUCAGUAGCCGACCUGAGAGGGUGACCGGCCACAUUGGGACUGAGACACGGCCCAAACUCCUACGGGAGGCAGCAGUGGGGAAUAUUGGACAAUGGGGGAAACCCUGAUCCAGCGACGCCGCGUGAGUGAAGAAGUAUUUCGGUAUGUAAAGCUCUAUCAGC
rnacentral:rRNA from 1 species